GUCUAUGGCCAUUCUGCUCUGAACAAGCCCGAUCCUGUCUGAUCUGGAAGCUAAGCAGGGUUGGGCCUGGUUAGUACUUGGAUGGGAGACCACCUAGGAAGACCAAGUGCUGUAGGGG
rnacentral:rRNA from 1 species